ACUACUUAAAAAGGAGGAACAUGUUCCCUAUUCUGCCACUACAACAAUCCUUUCGUCGUUCCUUCGUCCAGCUUUUUUCACUCCCGCACGCGUUUAGAUGGGCCAAGUGCCCAGGCCCAACUUCUCCCCUCUUGCCUGUGAUAUCGCGUCGCACGCCCGCGCCUGCCGCCACCCUGCGCCGCCGUCCUUCCCACGACGCCCUGGCCAGCAGGGGCCUCCCUUCUUUAUCCGUGAUGUUGCACCUUUCCUCCCAUCUGGGCUCUUCUGAGAUCCAGCCGAUGGAAUCGACGAGAUCCCCUUCAUAGACCUUCUCUCGCCUGAAGCAGAAGAACCACUGGGUGCGACGAUGGCCGCCACUUCCUCCUUGCGCCACGGUUCGGGCCGCGCUUGGCCAAGACGGCACCGGAUUGUUGGCCGUCAUCAGCGUACCACACGUCGUCGCUGGCGACCAAAGAGUGACGGAUCUAGCGGGUGGGGCUCAGAUCAUGAGCUCUUCGACCAGAUCUGCUGUGUUGGUAGAUUCAACGAGGAUGAGGUGAGGUAUUUCUUCUAUCAGAUUACUUGUGGUGUUAGCUACUGCCACUUCAUGCAAAUUUGACACCGGGACAUGGAAUUGGGGAACACGUUACUGGAUGGUAAUCCAGCUCCAUGUCUCAAGAUCUGUGAUUUUGUCUACUCCAAGUCUGAACUGAUAUUGGGGACUUCAAAGCUUGCAAUUAUGCCCUAUAUAUGUACCUGGACAAGACCUCCAAUUCGUGACCUCCAACCAAUUCAGUGAGCUAUGUCAGAAAUGAAUAUGAGUGAGGAGUGUUAGAUGGACUGAAGAAUUAUCUAUUGGCUGAUUUAGCAUUCGUUUAAUGUACAACAUGGGCACUCGAGUUGUGUUUUCCUGUAAAUAUGGACAAAGAGUAAUGUUGAUGGAAUUUAGAUGUCCUACAACUGUCUGCAUUUGGUCUGUGAUAGGGGAGUUGCUAGAUUGGCCGUCCCAUCUUCAAUUCAGUAACUUCGUGCCUAGUUCCAUGGGGUUUGACUUCAAAGACACCAGCUGAUGUAUGCUGUCUCACCAGCCUGUAGACUCCUGCUAUCCCGAGCACACAAGUUUGUAGACUGCUGCUAUCCUGAGCACACAAGUUUGGAACUAGACCUCAACGAUACUGCCUGUAUGACUAUACCGAAACAACUCAAAAUCUCCAUGUGCAUGACAUGAAGUUCGUACUGUUUUGUUCAUACAUCUUUAUAGCUUCCCAUCUAAGUUCAAAACCUCUUCUUUUGUUGCAUCUAUUUAAUUGUUUUCAAAUAAAAUUAUAUGUGUUAUAUUGUUAUCAAUGUCACUCAUAUGGCCUUGAGAAAAUAAAUAAAAUACUAGACUGCAAUAAUGAUUGAUUAUUUACUUCUAGACAUCCUUUUAUGUGGCAUUCAAAGACAUUUUAAUUUAUCAUAUAAGAGGGAUCGAGGCCUGGUUAGAAACCAAUUGCGUUUUUGUAGUCGGUCUGUUUGAAAUGGAUAAGGGACCAACCACUGAUAUGCUAAAUAUUAGUGGCUUCGUUAACAGUUCUUUAUUUUUUAAAUAGGUCUGAUACACCAAAAAAUUAUUAGUGGCAUAUGUAUUCAUGUAUAAUUAAGCUAAAUGAAUGAAUUAUUAGGACGACAAAAUGUACCCUAAGCAAAUUAAAUCAACCAAUUUGGUAUCUUCCAGGCUUCCACUGGUUUCCUUUUCCUGGAGAUAUUAGUAGUUGGUCUGCUUAAAUGGUUCUGUAAUGUGUUUCACCAUUUAGGUUUAGAAUGUUGACCCUCUAAAAAUAGUAGAGUAUACUAAUAUAUGCCAGGGAUACAGAUGAGGGCCAUAUAAAGUACUCUGAGAUUGAGGAAGCAUGUGGAUUUAAAAGGUCCAUUUUUACUCUAAUCUUCUUUGAAUGCUAUGGCAAGAUUUUUACAAAAUAUUUCCAAAACUUAUAAGGUAUAUUAAGGUAAAAUUAGCAACUAAUAGAUAUUAUUGCACCGUGGUCAUGUAUAUAGUUUAGCCAAUACAUAUAUUCACAGGCCUGGGUGAGUGGGUAUUGGAAGCUAAAACUAUGACAGGAAGUCAUAUGGGUGAACGUCUGUACAUACCUAGAAUUGUGCUGAAUGCACCAUCUACAAAAUGGCCUUUCACGCUGCUGCGCCGGGGAAGUACCCAAUCUGAUUUUGCUAUCCAAUGAUAAUUUACAAAAUUCAGGGUCCAAAGCUUGAUAAGGUUGGCAUCUAUUUGUCAAAGACUAUGUAUUUGCACGGGUUCACUCUACUGAAAGCACCAAGCUUCCUGCUCUUGCGUUGGGAUUUUUGAUGCCAAAAUGCUUAAGAUAGCUGAGUCUGAAGUGCAAGUUUUUCCAUUAGUUUAUGUAUAAUUACAUGGAGCUGUUUCAUGUGUAACGCUUCAGCUUGAGCAUGUCGAUUUGGCCCAGUAGGUGUGUCAACUAUUGAAUUUAUGAACAUGCUACGGCUGUUUUAUCUAUAUUUUCUACUCCA